rnacentral:rRNA from 1 species
UACGUAGGGGGCUAGCGUUGUCCGGAUUUAUUGGGCGUAAAGAGCGUGUAGGCGGCCAGGUAGGUCUGCUGUGAAAACUCGAGGCUCAACCUCGAGAUGUCGGCGGAAACCAUCUGGCUAGAGUCCGGAAGAGGAAAGUGGAAUUCCUGGUGUAGCGGUGAAAUGCGCAGAUAUCAGGAAGAACACCCGUGGCGAAGGCGAGUCUCUGGACAUUUCCUGACGCUGAGGCACGAAAGCCAGGGGAGCAAACGGG